rnacentral:rRNA from 1 species
UGGGGAAUAUUGCACAAUGGGGGAAACCCUGAUGCAGCGACGCCGCGUGAGCGAUGAAGUAUUUCGGUAUGUAAAGCUCUAUCAGCAGGGAAGAAAAUGACGGUACCUGACUAAGAAGCCCCGGCUAACUACGUGCCAGCAGCCGCGGUAAUACGUAGGGGGCAAGCGUUAUCCGGAUUUACUGGGUGUAAAGGGAGCGUAGACGGCAAUGCAAGCCAGAUGUGAAAGCCCGGGGCUCAACCCCGGGACUGCAUUUGGAACUGUGUAGCUGGAGUGUCGGAGAGGCAGGCGGAAUUCCUAGUGUAGCGGUGAAAUGCGUAGAUAUUAGGAGGAACACCAGUGGCGAAGGCGGCCUGCUGGACGAUAACUGACGUUGAGGCUCGAAAGCGUGGGGAGCAAACAGG